UUUUUUCAGGGUAUGAUGUGAUUGCUCAAGCUCAGUCAGGUACUGGCAAGACAGCCACAUUUGCUAUUUCCAUCCUGCAACAGUUGGAGAUUGAGUUCAAGGAGACCCAAGCAUCAGUAUUGGCCCCCACCAGAGAGCUGGCUCAACAGAUCCAAAAGGUAAUUCUGGCACUUGGAGACUAUAUGGGAGCAACUUGUCAUGCCUGCAUUGGUGGAACAAAUGUUCGAAAUGAAAUGCAAAAACUGCAGGCUGAAGCACCACAUAUUGUUGUUGGUACACCGGGAGAGUGUUUGAUAUGUUAAACAGAAGACAUCUUUCUCCAAAAUUGAUCAAAAUGUUUGUUUUGGAUGAAGCAGAUGAAAUGUUGAGCCAUGGGUUUAAGGAUCAAAUCUAUGAGAUUUUCCAAACACUAAACACAAGUAUUCAGGUUGUGUUGCUUUCUGCCACAAUGCCCAACGGAUGUGUUGGAAGUGACCAAAAAAUUUAUGAGAGAUCCCGUUCGAAUUCUGGUGAAAAAGGAAGAAUUGACCCUUGAAGGAAUCAAACAGUUUUAUAUUAAUGUUGAGAGAGAGGAAUGGAAGUUGGAUACACUUUGUGACUUGUACAAGACACUGACCAUUAUGCAGGCUGUUAUUUUUCUCAAUACGAGGCGCAAGGUGGACUGGCUGGCUGAGAAAAUGCAUGCCAGAGACUUCACAGUUUCUGCUCUGCAUGGUGACGUGGACCAGAAGGAGAGAGAUGUUAUCAUGAGGAAAUUCCAGUCAGGGUCAAGUCAUGUUCUGAUCACUACUGACUUGUUGGUUCAUGGGAAUGAUGUGCAACAAGUGUCUUUGGUUAUAAAUUAUGAUCUACCUACCAAUCGUGAAAACUAUUUUCACAGGAGUCAAUAGCAGCAGUCGAUGACGAGAUGGCACUCAGAAAUGGUGCUGACAUAAGUUAGGACGUGGAAUCAUAAGUGAAACAGCACACUGUUUGAAUAAAGAGUGAGUCGACUUGGCAGAGGGGGUCGAUUUGGGAGGAAAGGUGUGGCUAUAAAUUUUGUUACUGAAGAAGACAAGAGGAUUCUUCAUGACAUUGAGACUUUCUACAAUACUGCAGUGGAGGGGAUGUCCAUGAAUGUGGCUGACCUUAUUUAAUUCCUGGGAUGAGAGUUUUGGAUGCAGUGCUCGCUGUUGCUGAAUAGGUGAUCACAACGUGCAUUGUACUUCUUUCUUCAGGAAUAUUUGAAUCUUGUCUCAAUGCUCAUAACGGAUCAGAAAUACAGAUUUUGAUAGCAAAGCAACAUUAGUCGCGAGCUCUUGUGAGGAAAGUCAUUGGCUUUAUCCUCUUUAGAGUUAGACUGUUGGGGUGGGUAUAAAAGAUGGGGUCUGUAAAAUCUUUCUUUCUUAGAAAUUUAUUUCCUAGUUCUGUAGAAAUGGUUGUAUUAGAUGUUCUCUAUCAUUUAAUAAUAUACUUGU